rnacentral:rRNA from 1 species
GACGAACGCUGGCGGCGUGCUUAACACAUGCAAGUCGAACGGAAAGGCCCUGCUUUUGUGGGGUGCUCGAGUGGCGAACGGGUGAGUAACACGUGAGUAACCUGCCCUUGACUUUGGGAUAACUUCAGGAAACUGGGGCUAAUACCGGAUAGGAGCUCCUGCUGCAUGGUGGGGGUUGGAAAGUUUCGGCGGUUGGGGAUGGACUCGCGGCUUAUCAGCUUGUUGGUGGGGUAGUGGCUUACCAAGGCUUUGACGGGUAGCCGGCCUGAGAGGGUGACCGGCGACAUUGGAACUGAGAUACGGCCCAGACUCCUACGGGAGGCAGCAGUGGGGAAUAUUGCACAAUGGGCGGAAGCCUGAUGCAGCAACGCCGCGUGCGGGAUGACGGCCUUCGGGUUGUAAACCGCUUUCGCCUGUGACGAAGCGUGAGUGACGGUAAUGGGUAAAGAAGCACCGGCUAACUACGUG